rnacentral:rRNA from 1 species
UACGAAGGGGGCUAGCGUUGUUCGGAAUUACUGGGCGUAAAGGGCGCGUAGGCGGUGUGUCAAGUCAGGCGUGAAAGCCCCGGGCUCAACCUGGGAACCGCGCUUGAGACUGGCACGCUCGAGUUCGGGAGAGGAUGGUGGAAUUCCCAGUGUAGAGGUGAAAUUCGUAGAUAUUCGGAGGAACACCAGUGGCGAAGGCGGCUCACUGGUCCGGUACUGACGCUGAGGUGCGAAAGCGUGGGGAGCAAACAGG